rnacentral:rRNA from 1 species
CCUACGGGGGGCUGCAGUGGGGAAUCUUGCGCAAUGGCCGAAAGGCUGACGCAGCGACGCCGCGUGUGGGAUGACGGUCUUCGGAUUGUAAACCACUGUCGGGAGGGACGAAGUUCUGACGGUACCUCCAAAGGAAGCACCGGCUAACUCUGUGCCAGCAGCCGCGGUAAUACAGAGGGUGCGAGCGUUGUCCGGAAUCACUGGGCGUAAAGGGCGCGUAGGCGGCCUGGUAAGUCGGGGGUGAAACGCUGCGGCUCAACCGAAGCACUGACGUCGAGACGGUCAGGCUGGAGCACGGGAGAGGCUGGUGGAAUUCCCGGUGUAGCGGUGGAAGGCGUAGAGAUCGGGAAGAACAGCGGUGGCGAAGGCGGCCAGCUGGGCCGUUGCUGACGCUGAGGCGCGAAAGCGUGGGGAGCAAACAGGAUUAGAUACCCCGGUAGUC